rnacentral:rRNA from 1 species
ACAGCAGUAGCCACGGUAAUACGAGGGGGGCAAGCGUUGUUCGGAAUUAUUGGGCGUAAAGGGUGCGUAGGCGGUUUGACAAGUCUUAUGUGAAAUCUUCGGGCUCAACCCGAAGUCUGCAUGGGAAACUGUCGGGCUUGAGUAUUGGAGAGGUGAGUGGAAUUUCCGGUGUAGCGGUGAAAUGCGUAGAUAUCGGAAGGAACACCUGUGGCGAAAGCGGCUCACUGGACAAUAACUGACGCUGAUGCACGAAAGCUAGGGGAGCAAACAGGAUUAGAUACCCGCGUAGUCCCUGUCUCUUAUAC